AUUGAACGCUGGCGGCAUGCUUUACACAUGCAAGUCGAACGGUAACAGGGGAGCUUGCUCCCGCUGACGAGUGGCGAACGGGUGAGUAAUGCAUCGGAACGUGCCGAAUAGUGGGGGAUAACGCACCGAAAGGUGUGCUAAUACCGCAUACGCCCUGAGGGGGCAAGUGGGGGAGCGCAAGGCCUCACGCCAAUCGAGCGGCCGAUGUCGGAUUAGCCAGGUGGUGGGGUAAAGGCUCACCAAGGCAACGAUCCGUAGCGGGUCUGAGAGGAUGAUCCGCCACACUGGGACUGAGACACGGCCCAGACUCCUACGGGAGGCAGCAGUGGGGAAUUUUGGACAAUGGGGGAAACCCUGAUCCAGUCAUGCCGCGUGUCUGAAGAAGGCCUUCGGGUUGUAAAGGACUUUUGUCGGGGAGGAAAUCCCCAGCGUUAAUACCGCUGGGGGAUGACAGUACCUGAAGAAUAAGCACCGGCUAACUACGUGCCAGCCGCCGCAGUAAGAC
rnacentral:rRNA from 1 species